ACUUGGGAUAGCUCAGUGGAUGGAGCAUGAGAUUCUUAAUUUCUGGGUUGUGGGUUCGAGUUCCACAUUGGGCA